rnacentral:lncRNA from 1 species
CAGGGGGAAGCCACCCCUGAUGGAGGAACCCAGGAAAAAAAGCAAAAAUCGUCCGACACGUAAGUAAUUACAGCCUUAGCCGGUUAGGAAAAAAGUAUGGACGGGCGGCCGUAUCGUAUCUUUAACAUAUGGCGUAAACUGUAAGAUUUUUGUUAUUUUUUCAGCGUCCUGUGGCCCGAGCAUAGUUUUAUGGGAUUCCGACAUCAUACUACGGAAAUUCAAUCGGUGUCGAUGGCGUUGCAUCCUUUCUCAACGCUAGAUCGUAUGUCGUCGACCAUUUAUCGGUUAUCGCGGCGAAGAGUGUCAAGGGAUAUGGAAUACACCCUCCGACUUUUUAUAAACACUCGGAGAUCCGGUAUUUAUCUAGUUGCGACCUUGCUUGACUCGCCUAGCGCUGUAAACAUCGGAAAUCAGCACAAUUCUUUUUUAUCCCUCUUAUCUCUUUACACUGAUUAAUAUUGUGGCUACUCUCACUAUCCGACUCGGCUUACAGAUGAUCCGGCCUAUGUUAAAAGUGGUGGUGGCCGCACUUUUCCAUUUACGCCCAUGCUAAAUUUUCGUCUGCCGCUUAAUUUGGUCUACGUGCCAGCGCUUACGACAGUUUUUAAGACCGCUCGGUGUGUGUUAUUUUUCCCUACCACACGCCUUCGCCAGUUAACCCAUGCCCUAGCUUUUGCCCGUUAACGCCACAUCCAAACUCCACUCGAAAGCAUUUGGGGCCGGGAUGCUUACAGAACCCAAUCUCACUAAAUAAAACUUUAUUAAAAUCGAUGUGUCGGCCGAAAGCAACUUUUUAUCAGCCAGUUUUGUCGCUCUAUGUAAAUAUUCAUCUAAAUCAAAUUUAAAUAUUUAUUCAAUUAUCCGCAGGUAACGUUGCAAUAAUUAUCCUAUUAAUAUUUCUAGUUUAAUCAAAUAUUUAUAUGUUUCGAUGCCCAAGAUAAUUAGAUAAAAUAGCAGCUACAUCCACGGUGGUGCUAAAUCCCGCCUCGACCAUAAACGGCCAACUGCAACCAAUCUUCGGUUUAACCGAAGUCUGCUCGAGAAGAUGCUUAAUAAAUCCCACCGGUGGGCCAGCCUUUUACUACUCUACUAACCCAAAGCCAAAUAUAAUAGGAAUAAAUGAUAACAGAUGGCGCCAGGCGAAAUGAGCCAGUAAAUAAAAAAAAUAUCGCUUUAGCGCCCUUUCAAAUACCGACACCAUGUAAUUGUAUUUUAUCCACCUGUUAUCGGUAGUCGUACCAUAACAACAAUAAUAAUCAGGCGAGUAUAUAACAUUCGAUAUUCCUGAGAGUAGUGGCCAGCACAUGACACCAUGGGAGACACCUAUGUGGUUACGUCACUACUGGAGUCACUAGUGACGUGGAGACGGUACGUCACCGACCCACCUCUCCACUGACAUUGACAUAGGUUUACCAUUCCUCUAGAUAUAAUUUCGGUUUGACAUUCGAGAAGAUGCAAUUAGUGGACAGAUUUUUCCCUUCCGUUCUACUGCCUGUACCAGUCGAUUAAUGGAAAGAGAAUAGAAAGUUAUUUUGUUGGCUUUUUUCCGUCCAGCUCUCAAAAAAGGUCACUAACCUAAUAUGACCCAGAAGGCAAACUAGUUUUCGCCCCCAAACCGAUAACUUCGGGAUUUAUUUUCACCACCAGGCGGGAAAAUAAUCGUUUUGUAGUCUGGAUGGAAAAUCUUUUCUGGAAAUAAACGUCAGCCGAUGAUGUCUAAAUAAUGGUGACAUUUUUAAAACAAGUGCGGAAAAUCUGCUAGAUAAAAAAGUACAAAUCGUAAAAUUAAAGUCCAUCCGAGCGGAGGUGCGAAGUAUCCGAAAAACAACUAGCGGUUGUACGUAUGUAUGGCCCGAGACGCUAGAUUGGCGCGGGGCCAAAACCAUAGUUUGAUUUUUACGACUUUAAGCUUCGUGAUGUGACGGAUGAACGUGAUAUGAAUAAGGUAAGAUUACCGACUAAUACCUCCCCUCUCGCAGUGUGGUUUGUAUAAUGCCAGACACCAUUCUUUUCAAUAGAUCCUAUUGUAAUAACACCGGUUGGCCUGACGUCAUCCGAUGAAGGCGAUAAAUUCCAAGGUUGGAUGUAUCACGUGUGUUCAUCACGUCACUAUCCCAACGUACCCAGAGUUUGGGAAAUUCAAUCUGUCCACUCCAACCCCAUCGAGCCACUCGAAUACUUCUGCACCUCUUGAACCCACCAGUCGAAGGUUGCGAGAUUUUCUCAUGUACACUAUCUGCCGCAAAAGCGCCAUUGUUAUUGUUACUAUUACCAGUUUUGUUGGGUCCGACACCUUGUCAAGAUGCUUAAAAAUUUCUAAUUCGUGUUGCCGCGAUAGGCCGACGGCCAAAUUUUAGACCAAUUAAAAGACAAAAAAUAUUUUGGGCGCGUCACUUUACACGCUUUUACGGUGAAAGACGUGAUAAAGCCAUUCUACUUUCACAACUGGAAAUUAGCUAGAGACGGUGACUUCAUCAUCCCUCCGGGUGCACCUUGCCAGUCAUCAAUUACCUAGCUCAAGGCUAUCACAUAAAGCACCAAAAAGAUGUAGCGGGGUUAGAUGACUCAGCUCCCGUCUUCACCGCGCUCCGUAUGACGUCAUUUCUGGUCACCUGUACAUCUGGCUGCUCGGGUCAGUCGCCUUGGAUAGUUUGACCCAGUUUGCUACCCGGUGCCUCAAAUAUAGUCGAAAAUUAAAAUGCAAUGGUAGUAGGAAAAGUUUUUAGAUACGAUGUAGAAGUUUCGCAAUUGUUUACGCACUUUUAAAAGUCACAUUGGAUAAGCGGAUAACGAAUACCUUAGCACGUCCAACUUAAAUUAUCCCAACGACUUUAUACAAAGUAGGUUGUUUCUCGAGAGUGUAAGGGAUGAUAUUUAUGAGGUCAAGGAGCUAUUUUACUACGUAAUGCCAAGAAAUGCUUUCUUCGACUUUACACACACAUUCGUUGUUAGAAAAACUUUUACCAUUUAAUACAUAAAAAUUUACCGUAACGGUAUCUUAUCAAAUUUUGUUUUGUCUAACGACAGGUCCGUACGCCUUUAUAUUUGGCGAAAUUACUCCAGUUAGGAAAUUUUGAUCGGAACGUAGCGCAAUUCUCGGUGGACAGUGCAUUAUUAACUCGGAUUCUUUACCAUCGAGUCUUCCAUUCAUUUAUAUCACUUAUCAUAAGCUACAUUUUUUUUUUUUUUUUUUGAACAGCCGACCAUCCUGUAUCAGAAAAGAGUUGUCUUCGCUUCUGCGGUAAUUAUCUACAACAAGUUUUGCGUGAGGAACGAUAUCUGAGGCCGGCAGCCCCAUUCAGUCGUACGACUAAGUAUAUUUAAGUUGUUCCUAGUCUAGUCGGCGCCAGUCUUCAGCUAUUUAGCCACAAGAUCCUUGGUGGCGUCUCCCAAACAGGAAAAUGGGGGCGCGUAUAAUAAAAGGACCGCCCGGGGGGAAGGAAUAUAAAAUUAAAAAUAAAAAAUGCAGAAACCCAGAAAGAACUCUGUAGGGAGUUGGCAGAUUGGCCGUCAACUUUUUCACCUUGUUCCGACGCUAGUAUAACUGGGUGAUCGUAAACUACCACUAACAGAAGAUAUUAACUGGAUUUUACGACCGUUCAACUACUAUCCAAUUGAUAGUGGUGCCACUCAAUGUUAUUGACUGAAAACAACUCUUUUUAAGUGACAACGAUCGGCCAUUCGAUAACCAGCAAACUAUCGUCUGCCUUCCACGGCUCGGCUGCUAACUCUGAUUUUUACUCCUACUUAUCUAUAAAAAAAAACUGUGCAUCUUUUUCGCUUAAAUACUUACAUCGACAAACUUUUCGAUUUUCUUUCUAUCCUAUCCGACCACGGUCGACUUAUAAUUACAAAAAGCUUUAAUGGCAGAUAACGAGAUUAAAUAAGAAAUUUUCGUCCGCUUUAUAAUUCUUCCAUCCGCCAACAGUAAUUACCAUUCAUUUUUAAAAUUUAUAUAACAUUUUCGCCAUCAUAAAAAUCAAUUUUAUGGUUUAAAAUGAUUAAUUAUUUCCAGACAAAUAUUUUUUUAUCGAAUUUUUCCCUGGGUUGGUAAUGACAGAUGGCGCUAUUAACUAGCGUAUAUUUUUUAUUUAUUUUAAAAUUUUUGUAUAAAAAUAAAACGGGGGCGACAAUUUUAUGGCCCAACCAUUAAAAUCUCUCUUAUUUAAUCGUAUAUUUAUCAAAAGUGAAUUUACACGAUAAAAUCCUGGCCAAUUAGAUAAUUUCCCAACUGUGUAAAGCUCACUGCAGUGUUUAAAGUAUAAGCUAUAAAAACAUUUUUUAUUGUUAUAAAACAUUAUUCGAGUUUGUAUUUUUAAUACCUCUUUCGUGCCUCGAAUAUAAAUAAGUAAAAGUGAUUGGUGUUAAUUUUAUAGUUAACUUAAUGGCCACUAGAGAGCCCGUUAAAAUUAUUGUAUAAUAAUGAGUUGUCAUUUUAUUUAGCCAUACAAAACAUAUCCUGCGGAUGGUUUCGUUUCGAGCCUUUGUCGAUCCAACCCAAGUUGCCCACAGACACCACAAAAUCUUAUGACGUUCUUUGUCCGGUAGGACGCUAGCGUAGUUUGUAAGCCGCGCCUCCGAAACCGUUCCACUUGUUUUCGUUUGGUCCGCUCGAAGCCGAUAUUGCCGUUUAAACUUAUUUUCCACAAUUUUAGCCUUAUUUGAAACAGUUUCGUUAGCCAAUUAUCACCCGCCUCCGCCAUUAAUAAAUAAACUAAGCCGGUUCAAUAACUUUUUACCAAAACAACUUAAGGAUAGCGAAUAUUUUUAACAUUUUCUAACGCGCGCCUCAUUGACCAGAAACAUGGCUUCAACAAUAUAUUUCUCUUUUUAAUUAAAUUCUCGAAACGAAAUGUUUUAAAAAUAAAGUUAUAUUAUUAUAAAAUACGGGUAUUCUUUUCAUUUUCCACUUAAACUAUAUCGUUAAUAAUUGUGGUCAAGUUAAUGACCCUUCUUGGUUUUGUGUACUUUUUGCAUUUAUCGAUGGCAACGGAAGCGUGGUGUUCCCAAACUGAAUCCCGAUCGACUCGAAAUUUUGUCCAAAUAUUAGCCGUUUUUUCAUAAGGUAGGGCGGUAAAAGUUUUCGUUUCCAAGGCGAUGGCAAUAACACUUAUCGGAUUACCAGGAAGAAGAAAAAAAGCCAUUCCGUCUGUUAUAAGGAAUUCUUUAACUUUAUUGGAAGAGAAGGAAAAAAUAUGCUUACCACAAGAUUUUUGUUUUCUGCAUUUUCUGGUACGCAGAAUCUCUAUAAACUGGUUUCUUUCGAUUUGCGAAUAAAAUAACUCUGGUUUCUGUCUGGUCCUUCUGGCCACCGAUAAUCGUUGAUACGUUUUAUUAAUUAUAAGUAAUAUAUAUACAUAUACUGUAUAUAUAUCGAUGACGCAUAGACUAUAACAAUUUUUUUGCUG